rnacentral:lncRNA from 1 species
UUCAAGGAAAGCAGCAUCAUUAUCAUUAUCAGCAAAAGACUCCAGAAAGCAAGCGAGAACUCCCAAAAAUCAAGCAUACAAUAAAGUUUCUAAUGUGUAAUGAACCUUGAUCAUUUGGAACAUCAAUGGUGAUCUCAAUCGCAUACAUUCAAGAUCGACAAGGGAUCAACACAUCAAAGGUUUGUUUGUAACUAUUGUGUAUAAUAAUAACAGAGCUUAAAGUUAUCAAUAGCUAUCAUGGCUUCUAAAUUAGAUAACAACAUAACAUUGGGAUAAUGGAUGUAAAUGCAUAAAAAAAAGCUCCCUCCUUCGAUGCUACAAAGAUGUCACUGCCAAUCUUGGCUUGGUAUAGCCCAUACUAAUAAGUUUUUGUAUCAAUAUUUUCUCAGCUUCUAUCUGCAAUCCAUGAAAGUUGGAAAUCAAUAUUGAAUUUAAAAACAAUGCUGAAAACCAAUAUCAAAUUUAAAAAUUAAAAUGUAUGAAGUGAUGAAAGAUAAGGUAGUUUCAUCGCUGGGAAAAUUGAGAAUUAAGCAUCAAUUUCAAGUGGCUGAUUGCAUUUUUCUUCCAUAAUAUAUAAUGCUAGUGUGAUACGAACCAAUAUAAAAAACAAUGAAACAGUAAAUGAAAAUCAA